rnacentral:rRNA from 1 species
GACGUAGGGCGCGAGCGUUGUCCGGAUUUAUUGGGCGUAAAGAGCUCGUAGGCGGCUUGUCGCGUCGGCUGUGAAAUCCCGUGGCUCAACUGUGGGCGGGCAGCUGAUACGGGCAGGCUGGAGUUCGGUAGGGGGAGACUGGAAUUCCUGGUGUAGCGGUGAAAUGCGCAGAUAUCAGGAGGAACACCGGUGGCGAAGGCGGAUCUCUGGGCCUUACCUGACGCUGAGGCGCGAAAGCUAGGGGAGCGAACAGG